GGCUCCAUAGUGUAGUGGUUGUACAUCUGCUUUACACACAGAAGGUCCUGGGUUUGUACCCCAGGUGGAGCCA
rnacentral:tRNA from 1 species